UGUCUGGUGGGUAGUUUGACUGGGGCGGUCUCCUCCUAAAGAGUAACGGAGGAGCACGAAGGUUAGCUAAUCCUGGUCGGACAUCAGGAGGUUAGUGCAAAGGCAUAAGCUAGCUUGACUGCGAGAGUGACGGCUCGAGCAGGUGCGAAAGCAGGUCUUAGUGAUCCGGUGGUUCUGAAUGGAAGGGCCAUCGCUCAACGGAUAAAAGGUACUCCGGGGAUAACAGGCUGAUACCGCCCAAGAGUUCAUAUCGACGGCGGUGUUUGGCACCUCGAUGUCGGCUCAUCACAUCCUGGGGCUGAAGUAGGUCCCAAGGGUAUGGCUGUUCGCCAUUUAAAGUGGUACGCGAGCUGGGUUUAGAACGUCGUGAGACAGUUCGGUCCCUAUCUGCCGUGGGCGCUGGAGAAUUGAGGGGGGCUGCUCCUAGUACGAGAGGACCGGAGUGGACGCAUCACUGGUGUUCGGGUUGUCAUGCCAAUGGCAUUGCCCGGUAGCUAAAUGCGGAAGAGAUAAGUGCUGAAAGCAUCUAAGCACGAAACUUGCCCCG
rnacentral:rRNA from 1 species